AGAAAAUUGACAAAUUGAAUGGAGUGUGACUACCGGUACUUUUAGUAAUCUAGGAAAUUGAACUAGAUGGAAUACACUGGUCUUGUAGGAUCUCAGCUGAUCAUACUUCAUAGGGAUUCUUGGUGUGCACCUCUUCAUGCCUCGAGGCACUCAUCAAUGUCACACAUUGAUCAAAACGUGUCUGUGUACUACACUGCAGGAAGUAUUACUUAUUGUCAGGCAAAGAGAGCAACACAAACAUAAUUAAGCUGACUUAGACUUAUAAGUAAUGAUUUAAACAUUUCUGUUUGUACAAUCUACCUGUAUUCACCACACCAAGGUGGUUCCAUCUUGCCAGCUUUUUAACCAUAAUUUUGUGGAGUUUCAUCAGAGAGCUUUGUUGCCAACACCCAGGUGGACUGUUGUCACACCUUGGCUUUUCCUGAGUUGGAAGGCCAUCUUAUGGGUCCUUUUCUGGUGUGCAUCCAGAUGUCUUAACCUGAGCAAAGUUUGGGUGACCACUGAGUACAGUUUCUAUGAUAUUGUUCUUUGUCUUGUGGUGUGAAGCCAGAUGUAUCAACCUGAGCAUAGUUUUGCUGACCACUGAGAAUAGUUUCUAUGAUUUUCUUUUACUUCUUGUGGUGCAAAUCCAGAUGUCUCAACCUGUGCAUAGUUUUGGUGACCACUGAGUACAGUUUCUAUGAUAUUGUUUCUUAUCUUCUGAUGUGAAGCCAGAUUUCUUAACCUGAGCAUAGUUUGUGUGACGGUAAGUACAGUUUCUAUGAUUUUGUUUUACUUCUUGUGGUGCGAAUCCAGAUGUCUCAACAUGUGCAUAGUUUUGGAGACCACUGAGUACAGUUUCUAUGAUUUUGUUUUACUUCUUCUGGUGUGAAUCAAGAUGUGUUAACCGUAGUUUUGGUGACCACUUAAUUGGUGAACUGUUUCUAUGAUAUUGUUUUUUGUCUUCUGGUGUGAAUCCAGAUGUCUUAACGUGAGCAUAGUUUUGGUGACCACUGGGUAAAAUUUCUAUGAUUUUGUUUUCUGAAAACUCUCAGCCCUGAUAUAGGCCUACCGGUACAUGGUUUUCAACCUUCAUCAAAGUCUGAUGUCUCAUGAUGAGAUAGGCAGUUUCAUUUACUAUGUUAUGGCAACUUGAGCAUUUACAUACCGUAGCUCUGUGCAUCGCAUUCCAAGUUUGCUGUACAGCAUGAUGCUCGCAAAGGUGUUUGCACUUCCAAGUUUGGCUCAAUGUCUGCAAAUGCCGUUCUUGCAGCUGCAGUUGGUGAGUUCCAAAAUGUCAUGUGGAGCUGGUAGAGCCAAAUGUUAAUAUCUCUUUACCUUGAAGUACAUGUAGUCUCUUGUUUUCGGUAUCUUCACAGAACUGCAUGAAUAGUUUCAUGUACCCACUUUGGAUUUCUGUUAAUGGCUUACUUGUCUUACUAAGGAACCUUGUAUAGUCCUAGUUAUAACAAUCCCUGUGAUUUUGAAGCUCACGACCAACCGAGUCCUCAUCCUGUAUCUGCUCCAGAAUUUCAAUGUGUUCUUUUCUUUGUGCUGCCUCUAACAGUUGUCCACCACUAAGUUCAUAUUUCGUCACUCUUGUAAGAGCUCUUUUACCCGCAAGGAGGAAAAAAGAAAAAAAGAAAGAAGAAAACUAGAUGCGGUAAUAACUAAACAAAACAGAGCUGUUCCCGACAUGUUUUUGAUUGUUUAUCAUGUCUGUUGGAUGGUAGAAAACAAAUUAUGAUUUUUUCAAAAAUCUGUGACUUUUAAAAUUGAAAUUGUAAUCUCAAAUAAUUGCACUCCAGCUUGUAGAACAUAAAGCCUAGCACAGCUGAUUGUGUGAACGUCAGGAUUUUUCAAAGGCCUUAGAAGGACAGCUAUAUGCUGCAUUUACUCACCGGCCGGGAAGGGGCCAGGAAUCACCUCAGAUUGCACCACAGAGCAUCUACCGGUAAAAUCCUAAAUUCUCGGGGCCCUUAAGUGGGCCCUGGACAGCUCUCUAGAUGCAGGGCAUUAGUCCUCAGAUCAAAUGCCCCUUUGCAUCUUUGCAACUGAUUACUGAGUAAAUACAAUCAUUUUUCAAAAUUGUAAUGCAAGAAAAUAUGCAGAUGAAACAUAUGGUUAACUCAACAUUGAAGUUCACAAGUAUUACAAACUUGUAAAAGCAAAAGAAUAUUUUAAACCAGUGAAAACAGAAAUCCUUAUAAUUCUAAAAACGUUUGCUCGCGUUUGGGGUAAGUGGCCAGGAAUCACCUAAGAUUGCACCACAGAUCAUCUACAAUUCAACAUGUCCGUGUCAUCCCAGGGAGCUUGACAGACAACAGCUGCCAUUUUUCUUGGGGCCAUGGAUGGAUGUUUGAAUCAAGCCUCUUUGCUCCAUGCUCAUGGUAGAGGACCUUCUCCCAAGCUGGCCACCAUCUGGGAUGAGAGGAAAUUGUCAAGGCUUCGUGCAGAUUCUGUGUCACCCUGUUGUUUGAUUGGUGCUACUGGUAUUCAUUAAUAAAUUCAGUGGUUACAGAUCAUACAUGUAAAUCCAAUAGAAACCCCCCACAGCCCAGUACGUUGCUAAUACUGGGAUUUUUUAUUUCCAUCCCAACAGAUUCUUCGGAAGCUGCUCAGGGACUUUCUGGUCUGUGCCGUCCGUGCCACACCAUGAGGAGGGGGUGCCCUGGCUGCAUCACUUACACCUGAGGGGGGUGACGUAACCCACAGACUGUCGGCUAGAAAGUUUUCAGAUCUUUCCCUCUUGCUGGGAUACCUCCAGGGAAUCUCCCGAAAUGUUAAGGGGUCGAACGCCAGUUUCGUAAACAAACACAAAUGGGCAACAACUCUACUGGUAUGCUCAAUGAACCACUGUGCCCACUGUUGUGCCCACAAAUACCCGCGGUAAUUUUCAAGCAUCGGGCACGUCUUCCGUCAUGGUGCUGGUUGAUACAACCAGUUUGUCUGGAAGAGAAUGUUCCAGGCUUCCAGCUCAUCGUUCCAUCUGUUUCAGACUAAGAAGAGGCUUUUCAUUCAGCAGCCUUUCUAACGCAUUUUGUAAUUCUUGAUUUUUUGUAGCGCUGUGUAUUCCUCCUGAGUGAUGACCUGUUCACAAGUGCGUGGCCAUGACUGAUCUUGCAGUAAAUCUCUUGAUAGCCAGUGAGUCUGCUACUUGGAAGUAGUCUGCAUAAAGGCUUUAGUUUUUAUGCUCUCUCAAGUAGACGGAAUGCUGGAAUGCCCUGAAACUAUGUCACUUUGUGAAGACCUUCAUCAGAGAAACAACUCCAUCAAAGAUGCCUUGGGCUUAUGUAGAAUGUACGAGGUUAUUGUUUUGUUGUUAUAAUGUGCAACUGAUACUGAAUAAACGGUUGACUCCCAUUCAUAAAAUAUUGGUUGUCGUGACAGUAAAAACAAUAAUGUCUGUCCUGAAAUCUCACCUAUUUGAGAUAUGGUAGACACAAGAGGGCGCUAUUUGGUUAGGGUGAAUACACCACAAUCUACUCAAAUCAAACAGUGUGCCCUUAUAUUAUGUCUGCCAUAUCAGACCCUCACAAAUAAUUUCAUUAUGUUCUACAAACACGCACAUGAAUUCAAAAUGUCUGCAGAAUGACGAGUUAGCGCUCUAGUAAUUUAAUAUAGCUCUAUGAUUUUCUGGUUGUCUGUAAAAGUGACCAGGGCUUUCUAUUGUAUUUCUGAGUGCCUGUGUACCUACUUUGAGUGAACAUGUUCCGGUAGGUCCUAAUAAUACAUGGUUUACUGUACUAAAAAAAAAUGGAACAGUGAAAUCAAUGGAGAAAAUUAGAUGAAAAUACAUACUUACGGAGAUCGAAAACCAGACAAAUGAAGAUACACAGAUUGAAGACAUUAACUCUACUUUAUUAAAUUCGAAAAAAAUAAACUCAAGCGGACGUAGGAUGGUGAAGGAAACCCGACAUAUUUCCGCGGGUGAAAAAAAGGAAAGAUUUUCACCAUCCGACGCCAAGAGAAAAGAGGUAGCUAAGAUGAGGGUCAGGCCGUGGGCAAGGUGGGUAGCCUAUUGUGUGAACUCUUAUAGCAGAUGUAUUGCACCCUCUAGGGAAAUAUGCAUAGGUAGUGGUCUUAUGGGUAUUAGAUGAGCGCUGUACACUUUAAAUUUAACAAGCCGGUGAAUGAUUGAGGUUUUUGUGCAUGCAUCAGUGAAUAUUUAGAGUUUGUUCAUAAAAUCACAUGAGGCUCUGUAAAUGUAGGAGUUCAGGUUGGCAUGUAUGCUUUGGUUAAAGGGAAUAAACAACAUUUGCUAAAAUAAGGAACCAAAGCUACCAGAUUAUCAGGAAAUACCGUACUGGACUGUUAGUGAAUGCCAGUCUACAGCAUCCUGUAAAAUCAUGGCACCUGGUGUGCUGACAUUUUCAAGAGAGAUUUGUAUCAAUUUCCAACACUGGUUGUUCGUCCAGCAUUGGAACAAAACUUGACUUAGCAAUUGAGUACGUGUAUUUUCAAUGCACACGUAUACAUGUAUGUGUAACCUACUUUGUAACCAUGUGGCGUUUGAUUUUAGUGCAGUUCCAGAACUUAUUGUGAAAUCUGUUUUCACUCUGUAUUUGAAUCGAUGUGUUUUUCUACAUGAAGUGGAAAAUAAAAAAAAAAUCAUAAUUUUGAAAGAAAUUUUACAUGACACUGUAGGUCAAGUCACUGGCAGUUCAGGCCCAAGGCAAAAGCCAGAGAGCCCACUUGAAACUAUCAAUUCAAUAUUCAAGCAAAAGUAUGUCAUGUUAAUACAGCAAGACAAUAACAGUACCUUGGCCUUGUCCAAUAUUUUUUAGUAAACAUAAAAUCUUGAGCAUUGAUAAAUUUGGAUCUUUCUAACUACUUUUCUUUGCUGUCAAAGGUCUAGCAUUUUUUUAGUACAGUUUAAUUUUUUUAAAAUUUUACCCCAAGCAUGCCAAGGAAAAUGUGUAGAACAUGUGUUUAUUGAAAUAUGUUAGCAUAUUGACUAUUUUUGUGCGACCUACAAUAGAAAGUUUGUUCAAUAAAUGUCUUUAAAUUGGAUGAACUAGAAAUUUGUGUUUCUUUUGAA